rnacentral:lncRNA from 1 species
GUGGCAAUCCCUUGGGGGCAAGAAUCACAUCUAAUACAAUCAGUAUAGUGCCUAACAUUCUGAUUGGGACUCUUCUUUGGUGAAGACUUUCAAACUGAAGAAGAGAGAAAAGAGGCGCUCUACUAGCCGACAGUUUGUUGAUGGUCCCCCUGGACCUGUAAAGAAAACUCGUUCCAUUGGCUCUGCAGUAGACCAGGGGAAUGAAUCCAUAGUUGCAAAAACUACAGUGACUGUUCCCAAUGAUGGCGGGCCCAUCGAAGCUGUGUCCACUAUUGAGACUGUGCCAUAUUGGACCAGGAGCCGAAGGAAAACAGGUACUUUACAACCUUGGAACAGUGACUCCACCCUGAACAGCAGGCAGCUGGAGCCAAGAACUGAGACAGACAGUGUGGGCACGCCACAGAGUAAUGGAGGGAUGCGCCUGCAUGACUUUGUUUCUAAGACGGUUAUUAAACCUGAAUCCUGUGUUCCAUGUGGAAAGCGGAUAAAAUUUGGCAAAUUAUCUCUGAAGUGUCGAGACUGUCGUGUGGUCUCUCAUCCAGAAUGUCGGGACCGCUGUCCCCUUCCCUGCAUUCCUACCC